rnacentral:rRNA from 1 species
UUUAAUGUUUGAUGUUCUAACGUGGAUCCGUAAUCCGGGUUGCGGACAGUGUCUGGUGGGUAGUUUGACUGGGGCGGUCUCCUCCUAAAGAGUAACGGAGGAGCACGAAGGUUGGCUAAUCCUGGUCGGACAUCAGGAGGUUAGUGCAAUGGCAUAAGCCAGCUUGACUGCGAGCGUGACGGCGCGAGCAGGUGCGAAAGCAGGUCAUAGUGAUCCGGUGGUUCUGAAUGGAAGGGCCAUCGCUCAACGGAUAAAAGGUACUCCGGGGAUAACAGGCUGAUACCGCCCAAGAGUUCAUAUCGACGGCGGUGUUUGGCACCUCGAUGUCGGCUCAUCACAUCCUGGGGCUGAAGUAGGUCCCAAGGGUAUGGCUGUUCGCCAUUUAAAGUGGUACGCGAGCUGGGUUUAGAACGUCGUGAGACAGUUCGGUCCCUAUCUGCCGUGGGCGCUGGAGAACUGAGGGGGGCUGCUCCUAGUACGAGAGGACCGGAGUGGACGCAUCACUGGUGUUCGGGUUGUCAUGCCAAUGGCACUGCCCGGUAGCUAAAUGCGGAAGAGAUAAGUGCUGAAAGCAUCUAAGCACGAAACUUGCCCCGAG